rnacentral:lncRNA from 1 species
ACAGAAUAGUGGAGGGGGUGAAUGUAUGGAGGUCAUGAGUCCAGCAUCUCUGGGCCCUCUCCACCAUGUUUAUGACCAAGGAAGAAAGGCAUGACUCCCUGCCAGCCCAGCUUGGGGAUGCCAGAGGUGGACUGAUUGACCUGGCAUGAGGCAGGUGCUCAAGUCUGGAUCAAUUGUGGAGAAGUUCGGUGCAUUUCCUGACUACUUCCCACCUCUGUGAAUGCGCUCCAGGCUAUAGAGUAUCUCCCAACAGAUAUUCUUCAGUCCAGAGGACUCAUAGUAUUGGCCUCCUGGGACUUACUUGGUUUCUUGCUGACAUUUCCCCUGUCUCCAUGGCCCUUUUCCACACCCCACCUCCUACCUCCGGUAGGUCAGACUCUGGGAGGCACUGGCAGACUCACAUCCAGCUGGAUACCAUCAUAGCUAAAGCAGUGCUGUGAUCUUUGUGCUUCUGCCUCUGUGGGUAGAGCCCUGAUCCCCUCCUGUGGACCUAACCCGCCCAGUGCAGGUGGACCCAGCAAGCAGAGCUGUGGAUUCAGGCUGGUGGCUGAGCCCCUCACACCUUGGACACCUUGGGGUUCCUGCACGUUGCCUCAGGACUGCCUCCUUCCUGGCUGCUGGGGCUGCUGUGCCCAGAUCACCUCUGGGGUCAGCCUCUUUGGGGCCGGCUUCUUGCUGCAGGUACAAGACUUUGGAAGCUACAGUAAGUGCCACUGGGGCUGGCAUUGCUGGUUUCUUCCAGUCCCACCAUGGCCUGCUCAGGGACGAUGUCCUCCCACACCUCCAUUACCAGCGUGGAGACGAUUCAAGGCCAUCAUGUGAACAGCUCCUCGGCCUGCUGGGUGAAGAACUGAGAGAUCAAUCUCACACUCUGGCCUCCACCUAUGUGUGCCUCAGCCUUGGUUCCUUCCCUCUCAGGCCAUCCUAGGAGAAGCCAGCUCCUCUUGGGGGUGGUGGGGGUGCGGGGAGGUUUGUGGCAGUGCCCUGCUGCCCACCAAACCUGACUCCCGACUCCUCCAAGCUCAUGCUGCUGCUCACUCGGGGUUGUGGGACCGCCAGCCUCCAGCCACCCCUCUGCUCCCUUCCACCUCCUGCUGUGCCAACUGGGCCCUGUACACAUGCAUAUGAUAACCCCCUGCCUGGCCAAGCUCUGUCCACACAUGAUAAUAUGCAUUGAUGCCCUUCUCUGACAUUUAGCUGUUUUUGGGGAGGAGUAAACUGCAUGGUGGGCUGGACAUGUUGAGCACAGGGUGAAACAGACUGCGAAGGAAACUGGAUGGCUAGGCUUCAGGUCGGCGCCUUCUAUGGACAUGGGAGUUGUUGGGAGGGCAGUCAGCAGGAAGGGGGCUGCAUUGGGACGGGCUUGGAAGAUGGGCUGGGGAGAUCCCCAGGAGGGAGGUAGUGAGGGGCUGCCACCUAGGUCUUCUGCUUCCUGUGAAGGACUUGUGGGGGAGACCUCCUCUCCUCCUGUGUCCACAGUGCCCGUGUCAGACUGCAGCUGCCACUGGCUCCACAGGACAGGAACCCCUGAGCUUCUGCACUGUUCCUGCUGUCAGGGCCAACCUGACAGAGUUAAAGCCAAUUCCCUCCAAAGCCAGCUAGACUCGGGGUAGAUUCUUCUAAUGCCACUUUGCCCAGUGAUGCCCUUGCUUCAGGUUCAAAUUAACCAAAUGAACAUAUUGCGUGAGAUGGUUUCAGCCCUGUACGAAGUAGUUGGAAUUCUAUUAGAUGUCCCCUGAUUUUUUUCCUUGUGAGCAUUUGUUGUUAGCUAGUCUAGCACUCUAGUGUUUAUUACAUA